CUGCACUGGUCAUUGACUAGCUGGUCUUUCCCUGACCUCCUGGUCUCAUUCUAGUGCAAGAGAAAUCCCUUCUAGCAGAAGGGCCAGGCUCUCUUUGUGGCCUACCCCUUUCGAAUGCUGGGUACAACCUCCAGCUUUUUACGUUGUCACAUCAGGAUUGGGAUGCUGUGAUGAGCUUUUUCCCCUUGUUCGGGAGCGUCUGGUGAUGAGUAACUUUACAAAGUCACUGUAACAUCCAGGCUUCUAGUUCCCAAGUGCUCUGGGCAGGCUGAGUGUUCACCCACCUGGUGCCAGCUAAGUGCGUGCCCUGCAUACCUGACCCACUCAUACAUUCUUAUAAAAGCCUCAUUUGUUCAUGGGAAUGCUCUGAUGAGAUGGAAACUGGCUGUGACCCAAACCUCGUGCUGUACUCUCAGCUGGAGGGGUCUGCGAUCAGCUGUGCCCCCAGCAGAGCUGUAGUGAACCAAAUGUGCAACCCCAUCGUGGUGCCUCUUUCCAUCGGGCAGCCCUUACGUUCCUUCAUUGAGUAAGGUGCUGAGCUCCAGCACUUCGGAGAGGACCACCUGCCUCACUAAUAAUGCUGUCUUAGGGGUUUUCCUGUGGUGCUCGCCCUGGUAGCAGACAGCAGGAGGUGCUAGCGGGCACAGCUGACCUGAGCUGCAGGGGUUCGUCCUGCUUUGCUGGCAGGUGCUGGGGGUGGAUAGAUAAACCAACCAUCAGCCAGUGGUGCCACUGCCAUGCAACCCAGAUCUGUGCUCACAAGGGUGAAACGGCCACUUGGGAGUCUCAGCGCAGGGCCUGGCUGGGCGUGAUGUUUGCACAAGCACAUUCUUUCUCCAUAGUGAUCCCGUGUAAACUUUCCCUGCUUUCUAGCAACGCGUUCUGCAGAGAGGUGCGGCGGCUGCGAUAAAGGCCAUUGGGAGGGAUGCGUCACAGCAGCUUCCUCCGUGUUCACGUCGCACCACUCACCCUCUGCAGAGAGCAAACAGGUUUCAGGGAGUUCCUGGGGGGACUUUGGACAGAGGGAGAAACUGAGAUGAGUGCUGGGGUAAGGGCAGGGGCUGUAAACCUCGCCACGAUGGGCAGGAUUAUGGCUGAUCCAUCAACGGUCAGCACUGCUAUCACUGCUGCCAAGGGUGACAGCCCGUGGGAACGCAGCCGGCACCCAUUGCUGUGCUGCAGGGACAUGGGAACGGGGCAGGAUGGCAGCUAGCCAGGGUGUGUGGCACCACCAGUCCCCGUGGUGACACGGGCACAAGGCCUUGUGCAGCUGGGAAGUAGGAGGCAUCGCUCCUGGCAUAGCUGUGUGCGGUGAUUUACAGCAAGCGUGCAAUGCGCUGAGCCAGAGAGGUGCUGGGUUACAUACUGCUUGCACUUGGAUAGGGUCAUGAGUGCCAGCGCCUUUGUCAGGCCUGGAUUAAUUCUGGCUAAGGUCUUUAGAAAGGGGAUUUUUAGCAGCCCUGCUGAUAGACUCAUGGAGAACACGUCUGGAUGGGGGAAUCCAUCUGCCGAGGCUGAAAGCACCUUUUGCUUUGUAGCAUGCAGCUGUGUUACCUGGUCUGAAGCACCACAGACGUUGCAGCGUCAGCCCGUGGGAUGGAAUUCACCCACUUUUAGGAUGUGAUCAAUGUUCCUGCCCCUCACUGCUGGGGGUGACAACAAAGGUCUUC
ensembl:lncRNA